rnacentral:rRNA from 1 species
UACAGAGGGUGCAAGCGUUGUUCGGAAUUACUGGGCGUAAAGCGCGCGCAGGCGGUUCUCCAAGUCAGUGGUGAAAGCCCCCGGGCUCAACUCGGGAAGUGCACUCGAUACUGCGUAGCUUGAGUACCGGAGAGGUUGGUGGAAUUCUCGGUGUAGAGGUGAAAUGCGCAGAUAUCAGGAGGAACACCGGUGGACGAAGGCGGUCUGCUGGGCAGUUGCUGACGCUGAUGCGCGACAGCGUGGGGGAGCAAACAGG